GGAAAUUUUUUACAAUUGUAUUUAAAUUAUUACACACAUUUAUUAAUUUAAAUAAAAAUUGUCAUAAAUUUCCAUAAAAUGAAGUAAGUAAACAAUAUAUAUCGAUCCAAGUUAGUAUCGAUACCGAGACAGACCGAUAUAGGAAUGGCGUGUACGCGUGUAAUGGCGAAACCGUGUACGCUACGUUAGUGAUAGUCCGGCAUGCGAGUGAUAAGAAAGUUAAGAAAGAGACGAAGGCUGGGCAGGGUCCACAACUAACACCAGCCACAUUGGACGAGUUUGAGACUUGUCUUUUCAUCGACAGAUAAAGAGAAAGAAGAGAGAUUAAUUUAUUAUUACAUCUCAUUGAGGAAGAGGAAAUUCCCAAGUCAAGUUAAGCUUCAAUGAGCUACGACGAGUCCCGUUCAGUCAACGAGUCAGUGCCCCACACCUUUGUUGUCCAAAUCAGCUGUGAAAAUGGUGGAAAAGUACAGCGACGAUAGUUCAGAUAAUGUGGAGUAAAGAUCACCAAACUUCACUUAAUCAAUAUCGGAAAACUGAUUGCCGCAUCCUUAAUGACAAAUCUAGUAUGUGAACAAAUCUUUCACAAAAUGCAAUGGAAACGGCAAGGAAAAGUUGUUCGUUCCGGAAAAUGUAUUUUUGUAUAUUUUAUAGCCAUUUUGGGGGUUGAGACAAAUGCAAUUUUUGAACAGCAAAAGAAACAGCAAAAUUUACUAGUAAAAUCAUUUCAGCAGUGCAAGCAGCGCGAAUUUUCCAUGUUUUACAAGUAUCAAGUAAAAUGGCCACGAAGAAUACAGUGGUGGAGAAAUUGUUAGCAAAAUGAACAGGUAGCCUACAAUGGGAGCCGAGUAAAUGUAGUUCUCAGAUGUCUGGAUUAUUAUUACGGUUCUGUUUAAUGCUUUGAUUGUCAUUCAUCAUGAUGUGUUGUUUUUGUUCGGUAUUUAACUGACUUUAUUUUUUUACUUUCGCUUCCCUAUCAGCUGAAUGAGAAAUACAAACGUCUGUUUGCAUAA